GGCACCGGUUGACUCGUGGAGCCUCUGCUGCAGUUCAGUGAGCUAUUGCACAGCUUUCUGUAAACAUUGUUGGACUUCUGGUGGUUAUAGAUGAUGCUGCAUGCAGUGCAAGGUCAUAGAAUUGUUUGAGUUGGAAGGGACCCUUAAAGGCCAUCUAGUCUAGCUCCCCUGCAGUGAAUGGGGACACCUACAGCUCCAUCAGGGUGUUCAGAGCCCCGUCCAGUCUGACCAUGGAUGUCUGCAGGGAUGGGGCAUCCACCACCUCUGGGCAACCUGUGCCACUCUAAUAGUAAACAAACUUCUUCCUUAUAUCCAAUCUAAAUCUCUCCUUUAGUUUAAAAGGAUUUCCCCUUGUCCUGUCACAACAGACCCUGCUAAAGAGUGUGUCCCCUUCUUUCUUACAGCUCCCAUUUAGCUACUGAAAGGCUGCUCUCAGGUCUCCCUGGAGCUUUCUCUUCUCCAGGCUGAGCAGUUCCAGCUCUCUCAGUCUGUGCUCAGAGGGGAGGUGUUUCAUCCCUUGGAUCAUUUUUGUGGCCCUCCUCUGGACCUACUCCAGCUGCUCCAUGUCUCUCCUGUACUGAGGACUCCACAUCUGAACUCAGUACUCCAGUGAAGCAUAAAUGUUAAUGCUGAAACAAGCUACUGUCAUGCAUGUAAGGUGUUCUGCCUUUCCUUGGGAGUUGUGCUGCUGCUCCAGUGGGAAGAAUAACACGACAGCUCGACAGGCUUUGUGUCUGCUACAGCUUGUACCAAUACAAAAGCAGCAAGACAGCGUGUGCAUGAUAUCACAGCAACUGCUGCCUGUGCCGAAGAUGACUGGCUGGGGGAUAAUUGCUGUGGCACUGGGGGAUGUCUGAGGAAACAGGGCUUCAUCUGCAGCCUCUGCCUGCGAGUUUGAACUAUAGAAGCCCCGGGGGCCUUCUCCAUUUUAGACCCACAUCCACCCUGCUGAUCUUCACUACAAAGCCAGCUAGGGUGAUUCAGCAGAGACGUGCUGUGUGUCUCAUGAAGCGUGGAUACUGUGCUUGUGGUAUUUGGGAGUGAUGGG
ensembl:lncRNA